rnacentral:rRNA from 1 species
GAGUUUGAUCCUGGCUCAGAUUGAACGCUGGCGGCAGGCCUAACACAUGCAAGUCGAACGGCAGCACGGGAGCUUGCUCCUGGUGGCGAGUGGCGAACGGGUGAGUAAUGCAUCGGAACGUAUCCUGGAGUGGGGGAUAACGUAGCGAAAGUUACGCUAAUACCGCAUAUUCUGUGAGCAGGAAAGCGGGGGACCUUCGGGCCUCGCGCUCUUGGAGCGGCCGAUGUCGGAUUAGCUAGUUGGUGAGGUAAAGGCUCACCAAGGCGACGAUCCGUAGCAGGUCUGAGAGGAUGAUCUGCCACACUGGAACUGAGACACGGUCCAGACUCCUACGGGAGGCAGCAGUGGGGAAUUUUGGACAAUGGGGGCAACCCUGAUCCAGCCAUGCCGCGUGAGUGAAGAAGGCCUCCGGGUUGUAAAGCUCUUUCGCGAGGGAAGAAAUUGACACCGGACAAUACCUGGUGUAGAUGACGGUACCUUGAUAAGAAGCACCGGCUAACUACGUGCCAG